rnacentral:pre_miRNA from 1 species
UCAUUCAAUAUUGCCGGUUUGAACGAAAUUGAUCAGUUCACCGGGAGUUAUUGCUUGAUC